AUCAAGGCCUUAGAGUGAUAGUUUUUUAAUACCAAACUUUCUAGAUGGCGCUAUCAACAUUAGAUUAAAAAUUUUUGAAAUAGAAAAAAAUGUUUUUGAGUUCUCAAGACCCAGAUCUCAAUGUCCAUCAAAUGGACACUUUGAAUUCACUGUUGGAGAGGGAUUCAUUAUGACAUUUUCUAGGGUGCAAAUUCAACUUUUUCUUUUUUGGAUUCAUUGUUGGGAUAAAGAGAAUGUAUGUUAAAAAAUAGGGGUCAUACAAAUGCCAUCUCAAGGAAUUAAGAAUAUAACAUCUAACAUAUGUCUUGUGAGUGAUUAUUGUAAUAAAAUGUGCAACACUUUCCUGGUAUGUAUUGCCCAACAACAAAACCACCUGACACAUAUGGUCAACAUGUAGGGCCUGCGUCUAUAGAUAUAGGCAUGUGUCUAAGUUUCGCAUGUGCCAACAGGUGACACAAUGGGCAAAUUGUAGUACUCUGGUAACACUAGUCCAAGGUAGGAGAGUGAAACAAUGCCGAUAUACGUUAUUUAGAUAUGACAUGAAAUGUUAUGGUGUUCUUGAGGAUGUGGAGAGAGAGAGAGAGAGAGAGAGAGAGAGAGAGAGAGAGUACGUACGUACGUAACGUAACGUAACGUUAACGUUAACUUACGUUAAGUUUAACGUUUAACCGUAACCUUAAACUUAAAAGUUAAAAGUUAAGGUAGUUUAUUACGUUACGUUACUNNNNNNNNNNNNNNNNNNNNUAGUAGUAGUAGUAGUAGUAGUAGUAGUAGUAGUAGUAGUAGUAGAGUGAGUAGAGAGAGAGAGAGAGGAGAGAGAGAGAGAGANNNNGAGAGAGAGAGAGAGAGAGAGAGAGUCUCGUAAGAACAUUAACGGUAAUUCAGUUAUUU
rnacentral:lncRNA from 1 species